rnacentral:piRNA from 1 species
UUGUUCUUAUAUCAGUCAGGGGUA